GACGAACGCUGGCGGCGUGCUUAACACAUGCCAGUCGAACGGAAAGGCCCUGCUUUUGUGGGGUGCUCGAGUGGCGAACGGGUGAGUAACACGUGAGUAACCUGCCCUUGACUUUGGGAUAACUUCAGGAAACUGGGGCUAAUACCGGAUAGUAGCUCCUGCUGCAUGGUGGGGGUUGGAAAGUUUCGGCGGUUGGGGAUGGACUCGCGGCUUAUCAGCUUGUUGGUGGGGUAGUGGCUUACCAAGGCUUUGACGGGUAGCCGGCCUGAGAGGGUGACCGGCCACAUUGGGACUGAGAUACGGCCCAGACUCCUACGGGAGGCAGCAGUGGGGAAUAUUGCACAAUGGGCGGAAGCCUGAUGCAGCAACGCCGCGUGCGGGAUGACGGCCUUCGGGUUGUAAACCGCUUUCGCCUGUGACGAAGCGUGAGUGACGGUAAUGGGUAAAGAAGCACCGGCUAACUACGUG
rnacentral:rRNA from 1 species